UACGUAGGGGGCAAGCGUUGUCCGGAUUUAUUGGGCGUAAAGAGCGUGUAGGCGGCCAUGCAGGUCCGUUGUGAAAACUCGAGGCUCAACCUCGAGACGCCGAUGGAAACCGCAUGGCUAGAGUCCGGAAGAGGAGAGUGGAAUUCCUGGUGUAGCGGUGAAAUGCGCAGAUAUCAGGAGGAAUACCGGUGGCGAAAGCGACUCUCUGGACGGCAACUGACGCUGAGGCACGAAAGCGUGGGGAGCAAACAGG
rnacentral:rRNA from 1 species